GACCUGGUGGUGAAAUGUAUCACACCCACGCUGCCUACAACACCAAACUCGUUGUUGUGGAAAUCCCUGGUUUGAAUCCAGGCCAGGUCA